rnacentral:rRNA from 1 species
GACGAACGCUGGCGGCGUGCUUAACACAUGCAAGUCGAACGGAAAGGCCCUGCUUUUGUGGGGUGCUCGAGUGGCGAACGGGUGAGUAACACGUGAGUAACCUGCCCUUGACUUUGGGAUAACUUCAGGAAACUGGGGCUAAUACCGGAUAGGAGCUCCUGCUGCAUGGUGGGGGUUGGAAAGUUUCGGCGGUUGGGGAUGGACUCGCGGCUUAUCAGCUUGUUGGUGGGGUAGUGGCUUACCAAGGCUUUGACGGGUAGCCGGCCUGAGAGGGUGACCGGCCACAUUAGGACUGAGAGACGGCCCAGACUCCUACGGGAGGCAGCAGUGGGGAAUAUUGCAGAAUGGGCGGAAGCCUGAUGCAGCAACGCCGCGUGCGGGAUGACGGCCUUCGGGUUGUAAACCGCUUUCGCCGGUGACGAAGCGUGAGUGACGGUAAUGGGUAAAGAAGCACCGGCUAACUACGUG